CUUGUAACUUAAGAAAUCCAAGAUACUCCGGCGUGAGAAAAUGGUAACUUUCGCUGUUGAGGUUCGACAUAGAUUGUUGAAAACUUUGAUAGAAUCUUUACUAUUCAAAUGGCCCACAAAUAGUAAACAGACAACACCCGUACCCGUUUGUCUUUUACGUGUAGACCAUGGUUUACCGCGGGGAAUCGGAUAGAAAUUACGGGUAAAAAUACUGACAGCAUCAGCAAAAAUUGGUAAACAAAAUGGUGAUACUCGUACCCGUAAACCGGGGUAUCCUAUCUUAGUCGUAUUUUCGGACAACGAGGACGUGGUUGACAAUUUUUGCCUGUCUUGCACAUUAUCUUGCGCAUUCCGAGUUUAGGGUCAGGAGUGAAGACAGAUUAGAGAUUCAUGUCUAGCUGUUUAUGAAUGCUGACCCAAAUCCUUACCCUGAUCAGGAUAAAACAGCGAGACGUGAAUCCAUAUCCCGUCUUCGUUCUUCUGCCUUCGUUCACAACGAAUAUUUUG